GAUGAACGCUGGCGGCGUGCCUAAUACAUGCAAGUCGAGCGAACAGACGAGGAGCUUGCUCCUCUGACGUUAGCGGCGGACGGGUGAGUAACACGUGGAUAACCUACCUAUAAGACUGGGAUAACUUCGGGAAACCGGAGCUAAUACCGGAUAAUAUAUUGAACCGCAUGGUUCAAUAGUGAAAGACGGUUUUGCUGUCACUUAUGGAUGGAUCCGCGCCGCAUUAGCUAGUUGGUAAGGUAACGGCUUACCAAGGCAACGAUGCGUAGCCGACCUGAGAGGGUGGUCGGCCACACUGGAACUGAGACACGGUCCAGACUCCUACGGGAGGCAGCAGUAGGGAAUCUUCCGCAAAGGGCGAAAGCUUGACGGAGCAACGCCGCGUGAGUGAUGAAGGUCUUCGGAUCGUAAAACUCUGUUAUUAGGGAAGAACAAAUGUGUAAGUAACUAUGCACGUCUUGACGGUACCUAAUCAGAAAGCCACGGCUAACUACGUG
rnacentral:rRNA from 1 species